rnacentral:rRNA from 1 species
ACGGGGACUAGCCCUUAAGUUGAUUUGAGUGUAGUGGAAGGCUCUGGAAAGUGCCGCCGUAGUGGGUGAUAGCCCCGUACACGAAACGCUCUUAUCAAUGAAAUCGAGUAGGACGGGGCACGAGAAACCUUGUCUGAACAUGGGGGGACCAUCCUCCAAGGCUAAAUACUACUGACUGACCGAUAGUGAACCAGUACCGUGAGGGAAAGGCGAAAAGAACCCCGGAGA